rnacentral:lncRNA from 1 species
CUCCAUUAACACAGACGUAAACCUUAUGAGUUUGAGUUUUAUUAUUUGGGGAAAAAAAUAAAAAUAUAUAGAAAAUAGGCUAGACACAUUUAAAGGGUAAAUUUUGGUUCGUUUGAUCCAACAUUCGUUCAUCCAGAUUGUGCUUGCACACAAAUUCAAGGUCCGAAGUGCUAAUUCAGUAUGUGGUUUGCACUUCUUGCGCGUACACAUGGAGAUAACCUCUACGCUACACAUGAUUACAGACUUCAAAAGUGUGACCACAUAUAAAUUAGUCUCUAUCUUGAUAAAUUUCCUAUGUGGGACAAACUAAAAUAUUUUUCCUCUCACACAAACAUCUUUCAAUUCAUCAACUUUAAACUCCAAUUUCUCAUUCACCCGAACAUAUUUUUGUUGAAUAAAUUUAUGAUUUUGAUAUUUUCAAAGAAGAGAACACGAAUCUACUUUGAUAUUUCAAAAUAAGUGAACAUGUCCACUAAAAAUAUGCCAAAAUAACCUUAUUUAUAAGUCAUUUUCCAACAAUCCCCUAGAUAAAUAAAAAUUGAGAGAGAAAAAAUGUAAAAUAAAAAGAUUUGGUUAUAAAGUUCAACAGUUGAAAAAUACAUAGAAUAAAUACACAUUACCCCUUGAACAUUUCCUUGUGAAAAUAUAUUUACUUUACUAGUUGACCAGUAGACACGAUAUUUUGAACUGACCUGCUUUUUGUGUAAAUGAUGAUAUACUCCAUAUAGAAUUAUUCCCAAAAUAAUUCAGUUCUCAUUGUUACGUUCGCUUGUGACAAUGAAUAUAUACCUUGUUCUGCGAGAGUUUUUAAGAAUUGAUCUUUACACAAUUUCCUUAAAAGUGAUCACACUUCUCUAUCAUAUAGAUGAUUUUUUAUUACAAGUAACAUGUAUUAAUUCACUCGAUUUCAUCGUAUAAGAAUAAUUAAAAACCUAUUGUUUAUACUUCAUCCUCACGGCCAUCAUUGUUAUAUUAUAAUUGUGGAUAAGGGAUUUGUAUCCCUCACAGUAAUUUCAUUAAAUCUUUAUAAUUAGGUUGUCCCUUUGAAUCUAAAUAUUGUGAUCUCCAAUCAAUUAGGUUAAGUUUCCAUUGUAAUAAUUCAUUCGUUCAAGAGCGUAAGUCCCAUUACUUUUGUUAACUUUUUGGCUAACUCUCUACUUAACCCUUUAAUUAGCUUAUUUGUAAUGUUAUCUCUUGAUCUUAA